rnacentral:rRNA from 1 species
AGAGAGAGACAUGCGCGCAUAUCAAUAAGCGGAGGAAAAGAAACUAACAAGGAUUCCCUUAGUAAUGGCGAGUGAAGCGGGAAGAGCUCAAAUUUGAAAUCUUCAAGGUUUUACCUUGACGAAUUGUAGUUUAAAGAAGUGUUUUCUGCUGAAGUUUUGGUAAAAGUUCUUUGGAAUAGGACAUCAUAGAGGGUGAGAAUCCCGUAUUUGACCAUUAUUUUCAGCUUUGUGAUACACUUUCAAAGAGUCGGAUUGUUUGGGAAUGCAGUCCAAAAUGGGUGGUAAAUUUCAUCUAAAGCUAAAUAUUGGCGAGAGACCGAUAGCGAACAAGUACCGUGAGGGAAAGAUGAAAAGAACUUUGAAAAGAGAGUUAAACAGUACGUGAAAUUGUCAAAAGGGAAGCGUUUGACACCAGUGUUGUUUUCUCGAAAAUCAAUUAAAAAUGGCUCGAUUUUGUAUUGCUUGAGACCUUAAAAGCUCACUGUACAUUUUUCGUGUCUUUUUUAAUGCACUUUUCGUUUAACAAGUCAACAUCAGUUUCUUUUGUUGUAAAAGGGUCAUUGGAAGGUGGCUUUCUUUUCGGAGAAAGUGUUUAUAGCCUUUGGCCUCUGCAAUCGGAAGAGACUGAGGUCUGCAGCGUAGACUCUUCGGGGUUAGAUACAUUUGUGCUAAGUUAUAGCUUUUUAUAGACAACUUGUUGACUAUAAUUAGUCUUGUAGCUUACUCGCUUAUGCUAUUUUACCUACGCUUAGGAUGUUGAAGUCAUCGUAUCGCGC